rnacentral:tRNA from 1 species
GAGAAUGUGGCUCAGUGGUGGAGCGCUUGCCUAGCACGCAUGAAGCUCUGGGGUUGAUCCCAGCAUAUAUA